rnacentral:rRNA from 1 species
UGAGCUCAAAUUUAAAAUCUGGCGUCUUUCAGGCGUCCGAGUUGUAAUCUAUAGAGGCGUUUUCCGCGCCGGACCGCGUCCAAGUCUCUUGGAAUAGAGUAUCAAAGAGGGUGACAAUCCCGUACUUGACGCGACAACCGGUGCUCUGUGAUACGUUCUCAAUGAGUCGAGUUGUUUGGGAAUGCAGCUCUAAAUGGGUGGUAAAUUCCAUCUAAGGCUAAAUAUUGGCGAGAGACCGAUAGCGAACAAGUACCGUGAGGGAAAGAUGAAAAGCACUUUGGAAAGAGAGUUAAACAGCACGUGAAAUUGUUAAAAGGGAAACGAUUGAAGUCAGUCGUGUGAAAGGUAUUCAGCCGUCUCUGGCGGUGUAUUUGCCUUUCACGGGUCAACAUCAGUUUGAUCCGGUAGAAAAAGGCGGGAGGAAGGUGGCACCCUCGGGUGUGUUAUAGCCUCCUGUCAUAUGUGCCGGACCAGACUGAGGAACGCAGCUUGCCGCAAGGCCGGGGUUCGCCCACGUACAAGCUUAGGAUGUUGACAUAAUGGCUUUAAACGACCCGUC